rnacentral:rRNA from 1 species
CAGCCGCCACGGUAACACGAAGGGGGCUAGCGUUGUUCGGAAUUACUGGGCGUAAAGCGCACGUAGGCGGAUCUUUAAGUCAGAGGUGAAAUCCCAAGGCUCAACCUUGGAACUGCCUUUGAUACUGGGGAUCUUGAGUCCGGAAGAGGUGAGUGGAACUGCGAGUGUAGAGGUGAAAUUCGUAGAUAUUCGCAAGAACACCAGUGGCGAAGGCAGCUCGCUGGGACGUGACUGACGCUGAGACGCGAAAGCGUGGGGAGCGAACGGGAUUAGAUACCCCUGUAGUCCCUGUCUCUUAUAC